rnacentral:tRNA from 1 species
CUCCGUGGCGCAAUCGGCUAGCGCGUCUGACUGUUAACUGUUAUUCAACAGUGCAAUCAGGAGGUUGGCAGUUCGAGCCUGCCCGGGG